rnacentral:rRNA from 1 species
UGAGGAACAUGACCUUCGGCGGGGGAUAGCCGGCCCAACGGCCGGGUAAUACCGCGUACGACCACAUGGGGACAUCCCUGAGUGGUGAAAGCAGCAAGGCGCCGAUGGAGUGCCUCGCGGCCUAUCAGCUAGUUGGUGAGGUAACGGCUCACCAAGGCAACGGACGGGUAGCUGGU